rnacentral:lncRNA from 1 species
GGCGUGGGUCGCCCGUGACACCAGACAACAGCUGCGGUUCUGUGCGCGCCGCGGUGCAGCGCCUCGGGCCCGGCGGAGGGAGCGUGGGCGGCAUCCGCCAGCGGUGAGGCCUCUCUGGUUCCGUCGUGCCCGGGGGAGGAGGGCGCGGGGCUCCCGGCCUGGAGCUGGAGUUCUGACUGUAGGCCCGCCCCUGACUCGGGUUUGCUGUGUGACCUUGGACUUUAUGGCAUCGGGGGCUCCUACUCAUUUGCACACGGAGAGGGUGGAGCCUGGGCACUGUCAGGGGCCCGAUCCUAAUUCUGCUUGCAGGCCUUGUCAGCCAGGGAAACUGGAGAAGCAGGCUCCGACACGGGCAUGCCAAAGACCUAUGCCUAUUUUUCUUCUCUCUCUCUCUCUCUCUCAUUUCAUUCUCUAAGUAUACUGCUAGAACGAAUAGCAGGCAAAAAUUGGGGGCCCCGUGGCAUGUUGUGACCUGUGCUGGCAGGCAGGACAUUGGCUUACUAAGGUUAAAGAAAGAUGAUAGAAUUGGGACUAAAGAGAAGACACAGUAGUUCUUGCUGCUCUUCCAGAAGACCCUAGUUUGGUUCCCAGAACUCAAAUCAGGCGCCUCGUAUCAUCUGUAACUCAUGUGCACACACAUCUAUAACUCUGUAGCAACACACAACUACACAUAGUUAAGAAUAAUAAUAAUAAUCAUAAAUGAGACUGAAUUGAGCACAGAAUUGACAGAGUUCCCUUGAUCCUGGAUACCAAAGGAGGAAGAUAAAUAGUGUCUUGGGAGAAAGAACUUUUCUUGUUGUUGCCUUAGUUUGACUUUUUUUUUUUUUUUUGAGAUAGGGUCUCCCUACAUAUCUCUGGCUAGUCUUGAACUCACUAGGUAGAUCAGGUUGACUUAAGACUUUCAGAGAUCCAUCUGCUUCUGUCUUCCAUGUGCUGAUAUUAAAGGUGUGGGUCAUCGUGCUCGGCUAAGAACUUAUUUUUAUAAAACGUUGAUACCAGUUAUCUGUCAGACACUGCUCUGGUCUCUUUAGGGACAAUGGUGAAUGGAAUCUUCAAUUAACCUUUAAAACAACUGCAGACAUUCACCCAGAUAGCUCAGAAACCUCACUUAAUGUUUUCCAGGUAUCAGAAAUGUGCUAAGCACUGAGGUUAACAAGAUGAGUAGAAUGUCAUCCUUGGUCACAUUGUAGAACAGUGGUGCUCAGCCUGUGAGGUGCAACCCCUCUGAGACUUGAAUAUCCCCUUUACAAUAUAUACACUACCACUCGUAAUGGC